rnacentral:rRNA from 1 species
GACGAACGCUGGCGGCGUGCUUAACACAUGCAAGUCGAACGGAAAGGCCCUGCUUUUGUGGGGUGCUCGAGUGGCGAACGGGUGAGUAACACGUGAGUAACCUGCCCUUGACUUUGGGAUAACUUCAGGAAACUGGGGCUAAUACCGGAUAGGAGCUCCUGCUGCAUGGUGGGGGUUGGAAAGUUUCGGCGGUUGGGGAUGGACUCGCGGCUUAUCAGCUUGUUGGUGGGGUAGUGGCUUACCAAGGCUUUGACGGGUAGCCGGCCUGAGAGGGUGACCGGCCACAUUGGGACUGAGAUACGGACCAGACGCCUACGGGAGGCAGCAGUGGGGAAUAUUGCACAAUGGGCGGAAGCCUGAUGCAGAAACGCCGCGUGCGGGAUGACGGCCUUCGGGUUGUAAACCGCUUUCGCCUGUGACGAAGCGUGAGUGACGGUAAUGGGUAAAGAAGCACCGGCUAACUACGUG